GGCGCAGCAGGCGCGAAAACUCCGCAAUGCGCGAAAGCGUGACGGGGGAACCCCAAGUGCCGUUGGUCUUCUGAUCGACGGCUUUUGUGGAGUCUAGGAAGCUCCACGAAUAAGGGCUGGGUAAGUCGGGUGCCAGCCGCCGCGGUAAUACCCGCAGCCCAAGUGGUGGUCGCGAUUAUUGGGCCUAAAGCGCUCGUAGCCGGACUAGCAAGUCCCUUGUGAAAUCGGGCGGCCUAACCGUUCGGCUUGCAAGGGAUACUGCUGGCCUUGAGGCCGGAAGACGCCGAGGGUACUCUGGGGGCAGCGGUGAAAUGCUGUAAUCCUCGGGGGACCACCAGUGGCGAAGGCGCUCGGCGAGAACGGACCUGACGGUGAGGGGCGAAGGCUAGGGGAGCGAACGGGAUUAGAUACCCGGGUAGUCC
rnacentral:rRNA from 1 species